rnacentral:rRNA from 1 species
GCGUCUUUGGCGUCCGAGUUGUAAUUUGAAGAAGGUAUCUUUGGGCCCGGCUCUUGUCUAUGUUCCUUGGAACAGGACGUCACAGAGGGUGAGAAUCCCGUGCGAUGAGAUGACCCGGGUCUGUGUAAAGUUCCUUCGACGAGUCGAGUUGUUUGGGAAUGCAGCUCUAAGUGGGUGGUAAAUUCCAUCUAAAGCUAAAUAUUGGCGAGAGACCGAUAGCGAACAAGUACAGUGAUGGAAAGAUGAAAAGAACUUUGAAAAGAGAGUGAAAAAGUACGUGAAAUUGUUGAAAGGGAAGGGCUUGAGAUCAGACUUGGUAUUUUGCAUGCUGCUCUCUCGGGGGCGGCCGCUGCGGUUUACCGGGCCAGCAUCGGUUUGGAGCGGCAGGAUAAUGGCGGAGGAAUGUGGCACGGCUUCUGCUGUGUGUUAUAGCCUCUGACGAUACUGCCAGCC